UACGGGGGGGGCAAGCGUUGUUCGGAAUUACUGGGCGUAAAGGGCUCGUAGGUGGCCAACUAAGUCAGACGUGAAAUCCCUCGGCUUAACCGGGGAACUGCGUCUGAUACUGGAUGGCUGGAGUUUGGGAGAGGGAUGCGGAAUUCCAGGUGUAGCGGUGAAAUGCGUAGAUAUCUGGAGGAAUACCGGUGGCGAAGGCGGCAUCCUGGACCGACAUUGACGCUGAGGAGCGAAAGCCAGGGGAGCAAACGGG
rnacentral:rRNA from 1 species